CCUGACGGCAGCGCCCGGCGGGGAGCGCCACCCGCGCAGUGCCGCGCCCAGACGGGACGGGUCGCGCAGGCAACAACACCCCGGCAUCGCUGAGGUGGAAUUCGGCAGUUGGCUACUACAAAGAACGAGCAACGAUCUGGACUCACGAGGACCUUCCUUGGAGUUGUACCAUUUUGAGCCCGAGUUCCUCUUUGCCUUAAAGACGUGGCAGGAUAGAUGAACAGCAUGGCUGACAUCUCCUCACACCACUCCCACCAGCUGAUGAGGAAGGGUCCACUGUACUCUGGAGUCCACUCACCCAUAAGAGGGCUGACCAGCUUAAGCGAAAGGGGAACUGAUGGUAAGACUGUUCUGCCAUUAACAAAGCCAAGUCUCAGGUGUUGGUUUUACACAGAUGUUUGUUUUAAACAGCCAUCAAAUCAGAAUGAUUUUCAGGAACAGCUGGAUUUAAAUUGCUGAGUUGGAGGGUGAAAGCCCUGUAUCCAGUUUCCAAUCAUUUUGGCUACCUGACAUCCUAGUACAGAAUAAAACAGUUACUCGUUGUCAGUCACAGCAUGGCUUUCAUUAGUUGAGAGCACGUGAAUGUUCAGGGGUCUGGCAAGUGGCUUGUUAUGCUGCCCAUGCUGGGAGCAGAAUUCUACUUCUUGUGAGACAGCAAUGCAAGUGCAGCUAGCGCUGCUCUGCUCCCAGUGUGUACAGGCUUUAUUCUAACUCAAAAGUCAUUUUGGGAAUUAAAGUGAUACUACCUAGGGGAGAAAAAGCAAACUUAAAACCUCAUCUUCAUGCCCGGGCACAGGGCCCCAGGCCCAGUCACCAUCAGCACACAUGC